rnacentral:rRNA from 1 species
UGAGCAAUCUGCCCAUCUCUUUGGAAUAAGCGUUGGAAACGACGUCUAAUGCCGAAUACGACCUCCUUUCGCAUGAUCGGAGGUGGAAAGCUCCGGCGGAGAUGGAUGAGCUCGCGGCCUACCAGCUAGUUGGUGAGGUAACGGCCCACCAAGGCGACGACGGGUAGCCGGCCUGAGAGGGUGACCGGCCACACUGGGACUGAGACACGGCCCAGACUCCUACGGGA